GUUGGGAAAGUGUGAGGGCAAGAGGAGAAGGGGACGACCAAGGAUGAGAUGACUGGACAGUGUCAUUGAAGCGACCAACAUGAAUUUGACCCAACUCCGGGAGGCAGUGGAAGACAGGAGGGCCUGGCGUGCUCUGUUGGACACAACAACUAAACAACAAGAAGAAGUCAGUUGCAACUUGACAACACAGAACGCAGAAUCUCAAGGGAAUGAAAUGUAGCUGACCAGGCAACCUUAUGACUGGCACAUCUUGUCUAAUUUGGCUUUCAGACAGCUCAAAGCAUCUCCUCCUUUUCUGCAACCUCUGGAAACAGUUUGGUUUCCUCGGUGUCCUCGUUCGGUCUUCUGUCUGCCAGCUGCCACAAGAUCGGUGCCACUUCCUGAGUAGGGAUCUGGGCUGGGAGUGAGUAUAAUGCUACCCCUCCUCCAGCUCUCCCACAGACCAGAAAUAUAUUUUUUGGCUGCAGCCAGAGGGAAGAUCAUGUACAAUGCAGGACGGAUUCCUCUGUCUCCGGGCUGCCAGCCUGAAGUGCACGUUUUCUAUCCUAUCUUAUCUCGUGUGACUGGGACAGGAUUCAGCAGGAUUUUGUUGAGAAUUAGGAGGGGACGAUAACCAGCCAUAUCACCCAUAGGAUAACGUUAUUCGCAGUAGCCACCAGCAAAUGAUGCCCUUAGUGUGUUCACGGUUUUCAAAAGUUCUUCGUGUUUGGCUUAAAUAUAUACUUAAAAUAUUCAUGGUUUUCAAAAGUUUUCUGGAUUGGAGUCACAACUGCAACACACGAAACCCAUCUUACAGAAUAAGGAGGAAAAGGUCUGAUUCCUGGACUGGACACCCGUCGUGGAGAGGCCUGUCCAGCUGGCACCGUGCUAUCAUGACCUCUUCAUGUCAUAUCUGUGCCAGAUAUGUCAGGAGCGGCUUCUUUUAUCUGGUGCAUUGUCCUCCGACGGUCAAGAUGACCCAGCUUCUUCCUCCUCUGGCAUUUUCCUGGUAUUUCUUUCACAUCGCUAAUCUUCCAUAG
rnacentral:lncRNA from 1 species